rnacentral:lncRNA from 1 species
UUCAGAGGAGAAACAGACACACUAACAUUACCCCCCAAGAACCAUCACUGAUGUUCUAACUGCUCUGUACAGGUGCCAAGCAGGGCUCGUAUCAGCCAACGUCCCAUUGUUGUGAAAUAAUAUAUCACAGCAAGUUGACUGUGAAAUUACAUUUUAUCUCUCCAAGGAGCCAAACUUUCCUUUCAUUUUUUUCACACACCCUCUACCCCUCCUCACAGCCCGUGCUGCUGUGUGUCCCAGAAACUAAUGGAGUGAGAAAUAAAGUUAAAGUAAAUGGUUAGAUUGAUGGUGUUCAGUCGUGGGGCUGAGGAGGGGGAGAAAGAAGCAUAAAAAGGACAGUUGUUUAAAGGAUGCCCUUCAAAGACGCUGUGAGUGUUACUGAAGAUCUCUGAGACUAUAAGAGACUCUCUCUUCUCUAUGUGGCAGAGAAAUGCGCUCAAAACAUCUCUCAAUGGAGGUUAAUGCACACUGUCGUAUGUGUUGCUAUGGAAACACUGAAAAACUGCACACCUGCUGGUAGCUGUCAAACUUUGUUCCUUUUAAGAGAUGACCACAGAGCACUUUGACUCAGACGGCCUUUUUAAAACACCUAAAAUGGUUUUAUUCAAAGCGUCCGACUACGUGUUAUUCGCGCAGUGCUGCACUUUUUGGUCCCUAAGUUAGGCGAAGGGUACAAAGAGGUUGGAUUAAGCCCUUUCACUAUUUGAAGGUAUGUUUUAAGUGUAACAUAGUUCAGGCUAAAUCAACAUGUCUGCUCCUAUUCCCUUUAAGAGUCAGAUGCACUUGCAGAAAGGGGUGUUUCUUUUUAGGUAGCAGAUUUCAGCCCUGUUAGAGCACGGUAUUUGACAAUGUCCUGAAAUGUUAUUAAAAAUCUAAUAAAAUGUAAAAACGGGUCAAUAAUGUAACGGGAUGCUGAGCCCAAAACAUAACUUUUUGCCCAUAAUGUAGCAAAUUGUCACAUUUUGGAUUAGCUAUUACAACUGUGCUUUAUUAUAUUUUUUUAAUAGCAUUUUGGGUCCUUGCUACAUAUCGGGUUCAGACAAGGCCCUUUUACGAUAAUAAAUUUGACUUCAGCUGGCGCAUUAUUCAGUGUGUUUACUAGUUGUCCAAAGUAAUUGAUUAAUUGCCUUAAGCCGCCUGAAACUGAACUUAUAAGAAUCAUGUAGAUAUAUUAGUUUGACUGAAAUCAAACUUCUCAAAAUCACUUUUUUUUAAAAGUCCAAACUGAACAUUUAUCGGUCAUUAACUAAUGUUCAUGUGCUUAACAUCAGAGACAGGAAGGCUGUAGUCAUUUAUGCUGCUGGAUCUCAUGGCUGUGUUUUUUUUUACUGUAUACACAAUCGAUACAAGACUCAAGCUAAACUUAAUUCUCACCAAGGGUUAAUUGUGUCACAGCUGGCAACAUACACAAACUGAGUACAGAAUUACAAUGUUUUUAGUCGGUUUGUUCCACAUUUGGGAGGACUCUAUGUACAUCCAGAUAUUGUGUCGGUGCAGAUGAUUUCUCUGUUCUCAUGACAGCAAUGCAUCACUUUUCUGCCUGACCCCAUCUCAACUUAAAACUAACACACCUAUGGGCACAAACACGGUGCAAAUUCAUUGGCUAUUUAAAAAAGCUAUUUUGCUAAGUGCAAAGGAAAUAAGUGCGCCUGAUGGAUAUUAACGACACCUGCUGAGCCACUUGGCUCCAAAUGUAUGAUAGAGUCCUAAAUGUCCAGCAGCUCUGAAUGAUAAACUUUUAAAGAUUGAACAAGCAGUACAAGAGAUGUAAUGACUUUUCAAAGUUAUCAGUCAGACAUUAGUACCCAAAGGGUUAUGAAGAGACAUUACUCACACGAGGAGGAGUUACAGCACUGUAAUCUGAUUUAUGAACACAUCAGGUCCCGUUUAAUGAAAUGAAACAAACCUCAGCACAAGCUUCAGAGGACGGUGCUGCGAAACUGUCUCAUGGGAAGGUUUUAAUUGUUUUAAAUUGUUAAAGUGCUAAUCAAGUCUGCUUUCAUGUGCUGAAUGGAGCAAUUUGAAAAGGCAGGUUCAAAGGAGUAAAAUCUGAACAUGUUAUUACAAGAAAUCUGACUGUGACAAAGGCAGUGUUUGAUGUUAUUAAAAAAGUGUGAUCAAACAGCAGGACAGCAGAAAUUGGAUAUCCGUGUUCGAGCGACUUUGGAGGCAAAUAUAUGAGGAAGCAUUCAGAUCACUCACAGUUUCAACACUGGAGCUGUGUGUACUCAAACUAGUCUCCAUUUGUAUGCAGUCAGAUUUCAGUUUUGUCACAUAUUCAGCCAAGCACAUGCUUAGUAUGGAUUUACAGCUGAGUUCAAUAUCGUGCAGCCCUGUCGUCCGACACGUCCUAGGUCCAAUACUUUGUAAAAAGCAGAAAAAGACCUGAUUAAAAUUGAUUAGAAACUGUCUGUGGCUGUGGAAAUUCAUGUCGUACCUAAAAAUAAUUCAGUAAUUCAGGAAAUCCUUUUAUUUUUUUCCAGAGAUGAGACAUGCGUGUGUGUGUGUGUGUGUGGAAACUGGUGUGUUUCAUUUCUUGUCCCUCGUUCGGAGGAGAUUGCCUUACAAAUGAAGCUAAUCCAUUUUUCACAGUUCACGGUGGCCGCAGAGAUGGUGGAGGGCUCGCUGUGGUAUUUUCAUGUUCUAAUCAGUCUGAUAAGGAUUGAGAUAUAAAAGCCUUUGGUCCUCAUCUGUACAGAAAGUUUAAAGAGAUGACUGUGGGAAUAACUUCUGGACUAAACCACUGAUGAACUAUGAAAUGUUGUUUUUAAUCUUGAACUUAGAGUUGCGUUUUGAGUCUCAAACCCGAGUCAAAUCUGGGGUGUUUUAACUUAAGACUCACCAAAGAAGAGACAAGAUGGAGUAACAUGGGGAUUUAUCAAGUUUAUCGAACUGAAAAAAGGUCUAUCAUAAACAACGCAAAAGUGUUUUAGCAGUAACAUAAAUUGUGUAUACUCAAAUAGGAGUGGGAAGAAAUGUAGCACUUAUUGAAUCACCUCUAAUCAAUGAAAAAUUAACAGUUUAUUCAGCUUUUCUUUUACAUUUAUCAACUAAUAUGAUAAUCAUCUUUUUCAAUCAUCAGGUGUCAGUUUAUCAACCAAAAGUCCUGCAGUUAAUGGAAAGUUUGUGUCCUAUUCAUCUUAAAAGCUGCUUGACUGCAGAAAUGCACAAAACUACUCACUGUACUGGACUGUCCCCGUCUGCAUUCAGCUUGCAUUUCCAGUAAAAUCUCUUAAAGUAAAAUUCACCAGUCAUGGCACCCCUGUGAGAGUCCUGGCCAGACCUGUAGCUGAACAAUAUGAACUGAGUGAAGGAUGGAAAAUUAGUCUUUCUCAGCUCAUAAGUCUGUGCCUUUUUUCAUUUUACAAGUGCAAAUGCAGUCAGUGUUUGAGUCUGAGUCCAAGCCACUGGUGCUUAUGUCCAGCUUGUAUCAUAAAUCCUGAUGAUAGGUGCUGAAGUUGAGCCUGAUCUGUGUCUGUGCCAAUUACAUAAGACACGAUUUAUUACUUUAUUAAAAAAUGAAAAUCAAUCCAAACACUCACAGUCGGACGCUUAAAUACAAUAAAAAGAAGAUCACAGACUCUAACUAGGAGUAACUUUUGAGUUUAUAGAUGUAUUAGACAGUGCAAAAGAAUAUACUCCCAUCUGAAAAGUGAAACUGAUGCAAACUUGCCUUAAACCUGUAUUCGCUCAGCAGGGAAAACUCGCCUGUUUGUGUAGAUAGGUCUUUUUGUAUUCAUGCCACAGAAGCACAGUUCUCACUUCACCAGAAUAAAAAUUUACCUCGUGUGUUUAUGGUCUGAGUGGCCUGUUUGAGGUCUCCCUCGGUACAGCAUGUCACUGCUUAGAGCUCCUGUGAGGAGUCUUUAUGAAACAGACUGAAAUGAAUACUGAUGCCUCCAUGUGACCCACUAAAGCAAAUAAGAUCACUAGAGACAAGAUCCUUUGCUUCUGUAAAACCAUUUCUGAUGCUUAAACAUGCUGUUGUAAGACAAUGUUAUAACUUUACAAGCCAAAAGUGCCUUUUAGUACACUUUCUAUGGCGAAGAUGUUCAGCGGGUGUUUUAUUAUUCACAGGUUUGAUGUUUUAAAAAAAGUGGCACUGCUUUGUCUACAGGUGGGGCGAUGUGGACUCAUACAGAGUGGAAAAUCAACAAAAAGCUGACUGUGACUACUGAAAACUGUGCAUCACUUACUCUCAGUACUUGUUCAUCUUUAGGUCCGUGACAAUGAACAUUUGUGCAAAUGAACACAUCGUAUUUUGCAGCCCUGUGAUAUUUGCUCUUAUGUUGUGUUAGAUUGCAGUGAUGAGCUGUCAGCAUCUCCAUGAACAGCCAUAAGUGCGCAUGGAAACACCAUAUUACCUACGUGAUGAAAGGCAGGAUGAGGUUCUUACUGGGAUACUGAAGGAAGACACACUGACUGUCGCCUGAUAAUUAAAAUGAUAGUGACUGUUUGUGCUGGCAUUUGCAAAUUGGGAGUAUUUUUGCAGUGAGGUUAAUUUGAGAAAGAGACUUAUACUUUCUGAUUUGAAUGCAUAAUGUCUGAUUCAAAUAUGCACAAACAGUACCACCGUAAAGAUGCACUUAAGUUGUGUAGCGCAAUCUCUGGUGCGUUUAAGCCUUUGCAUGAACUUUGUGAAAAGGUUGGAGACUUUUUGCAACUGAGGCAACCAAAAAGCUUAAGUGUACUUAAAGGUGGUUACUGUGUGGCUUUAAAGUCAAUGCCAUGUCAACCUGUCUAUUAGUAUAGAGGAGUAGCAAUGUGGAUCCACCUUUAUAUCCAAAUAUGAUCAAUACCGCAGACUGUAUAUAGAAUGGACGCCGUACUUCUCCUAGCUGGGUGAAGCCAC